rnacentral:rRNA from 1 species
AUGAACGCUGGCGGCGUGCCUAAUACCUGCAAGUCGAGCGAACAGACGAGGAGCUUGCUCCUCUGACGUUAGCGGCGGACGGGUGAGUAACACGUGGAUAACCUACCUAUAAGACUGGGAUAACUUCGGGAAACCGGAGCUAAUACCGGAUAAUAUAUUGAACCGCAUGGUUCAAUAGUGAAAGACGGUUUUGCUGUCACUUAUAGAUGGAUCCGCGCCGCAUUAGCUAGUUGGUAAGGUAACGGCUUAACAAGGCAACGAUGCGUAGCCGACCUGAGAGGGUGAUCGGCCACACUGGAACUGAGACACGGUCCAGACUCCUACGGGAGGCAGCAGUAGGGAAUCUUCCGCGAUGGGCGAAAGCCUGACGGAGCAACGCCGCGUGAGUGAUGAAGGUCUUCGGAUCGUAAAACUCUGUUAUUAGGGAAGAACAAAUGUGUAAGUAACUAUGCACGUCUUGACGGUACCUAAUCAGAAAGCCACGGCUAACUACGUG